rnacentral:rRNA from 1 species
UACGUAGGCGGUUUAUUAAGUCAGAUGUGAAAGCCCCGGGCUUAACCUGGGAACUGCAUUUGAUACUGGUAAACUAGAGUAUGGUAGAGGGGGGUAGAAUUCCUAGUGUAGCGGUGAAAUGCGUAGAUAUUAGGAGGAAUACCAGUGGCGAAGGCGGCCCCCUGGACCAAUACCGACGCUGAGGUACGAAAGCGUGGGUAGCGAACA